rnacentral:rRNA from 1 species
UACGCAGGCAGCGAGCGUUGUUCGGAGUUACUGGGCGUAAAGGGUGCGUAGGCGGUUGUUUAAGUUUGGUGUGAAAUCUCCCGGCUCAACCGGGAGGGUGCGCCGAAUACUGAAUGACUAGAGUGCGGGAGAGGAAAGUGGAAUUCCUGGUGUAGCGGUGAAAUGCGUAGAUAUCAGGAGGAACACCGGUGGUGUAGACGGCUUUCUGGACCGUAACUGACGCUGAGGCACGAAGGCCAGGGGAGCAAACGGG